rnacentral:rRNA from 1 species
GAGCAACGCCGCGUGAGGGAUGAAGGCCUCUGGGCUGUAAACCUCUUUUAUCAAGGAAGAAGAUCUGACGGUACUUGAUGAAUAAGCCACGGCUAAUUCCGUGCCAGCAGCCGCGGUAAUACGGGAGUGGCAAGCGUUAUCCGGAAUUAUUGGGCGUAAAGCGUCCGCAGGCGGCCUUGUAAGUCUGUCGUCAAAGCGUGGAGCUUAACUCCAUUUAAGCGAUGGAAACUGCAAGGCUAGAGUGUGGUAGGGGCAGAGGGAAUUCCCGGUGUAGCGGUGAAAUGCGUAGAUAUCGGGAAGAACACCAGUGGCGAAGGCGCUCUGCUGGGCCAUAACUGACGCUCAUGGACGAAAGCCAGGGGAGCGAAAGGGAUUAGAUACCCCUGUAGUCCUGGCCGUAAACGAUGAACACUAGGUGUCGGGGGAAUCGACCCCCUCGGUGUCGUAGCCAACGCGUUAAGUGUUCCGCCUGGGGAGUACGCACGCAAGUGUGAAACUCAAAGGAAUUGACGGGGGCCCGCACAAGCGGUGGAGUAUGUGGUUUAAUUCGAUGCAACGCGAAGAACCUUACCAGGGUUUGACAUCCUGCGAAUCCCUUGGAAACGAGGGAGUGCCUUCGGGAGCGCAGAGACAGGUGGUGCAUGGCUGUCGUCAGCUCGUGUCGUGAGAUGUUGGGUUAAGUCCCGCAACGAGCGCAACCCACGUCGUUAGUUGCCAGCAUUUAGUUGGGCACUCUAGCGAGACCGCCGGUGAUAAACCGGAGGAAGGUGUGGAUGACGUCAAGUCAUCAUGCCCCUUACAUCCUGGGCUACACACGUACUACAAUGCUACGGACAAAGGGCAGCAAGCUCGCGAGAGUAAGCAAAUCCCAUAAACCGUGGCUCAGUUCAGAUCGUAGGCUGCAACUCGCCUACGUGAAGGAGGAAUCGCUAGUAAUCGCAGGUCAGCAUACUGCGGUGAAUACGUUCCCGGGCCUUGUACACACCGCCCGUCACACCAUGGAAGUUGGCCAUGCCCGAAGUCGUUACUCCAACCCUUGUGGAGGAGGACGCCGAAGGUGGGGCUGAUGACUGGGGUGAAGUCGUAACGGGGUAGCCGUACCGGAAGGUG